UAAGCCANGGCAAGUCAGGGUAGUAAUACCCGGCGNACANGCUCAANUAACANGUCAAUAAUCUGCCCUUAGGUCACGGAUAACCUUUGGGAAACUGAGGGUAAACCGUGAUAGGGAGAGAUGCUCUGGAACAUAGCUCUCUUUAAAGCUCGAGCCUAAGGAUGAGUUGGCGGCCGAUUAGGCUGUUGGCGGUGUAACGGACCACCAAACCUAUGAUCGGUAGGGGCCUUGAAAGAGGGAGCCCCGAGAAGGACACUGAAAUACUGGUCCUAGCCCUACGGGGUGCAGCAGGCGCGAAACUUUUACAAUGCACGAAAGUGUGAUAAGGGGAUCCCAAGUGCUUGCACACUGUGCAGGCUUUUUUCCAGGGCAAGUACCUGGGAGAAUAAGUGGUGGGCAAGACUGGUGCCAGCCGCCGCGGUAACACCAGCGCCACGAGUGGCAGCCGUGUAUUUGGCCUAAAGCGUCCGUAGCUGGUAGUGUAAAUUCUUUGUGAAAUUGUUGAGCUUAACUUAACAGCGCGCAGAGAACACUGCAUUACUUGAGACCGGGAGGAGUCAGAGGUAUUUCUGGGGGAGCGGUAAAAUGCUAUAAUCCCAGGAAGACCACCUGUGGCGAAGGCGUCUGACUAGAACGGAUCUGACAGUGAGGGACGAAAGCCAGGGGAGCAAACCGGAUUAGAUACCCGAGUAGUCCUGGCUGUAAACGCUGUGAGCUAGGUGUUGCCUAUUCUACAUGAAUGGGCAGUGUCGAAAUGAAGAUGUUAAGCUCACCGCCUGGGAAGUACAGUCGCAAGGCCGAAACUUAAAGGAAUUGGCGGGGGAGCACAAUCACU
rnacentral:rRNA from 1 species